UCCCCAGUAGUAUAUCGGUUAGUACACCCGCCUGUCAUCGUCAGACGUUUGUACUCGCGGGAGAGCGGGGUUCGACUCCCCGCUGAGGAG